CCUACGGGUGGCAGCAGUAGGGAAUCUUUCACAAUGGGCGAAAGCCUGAUGGAGCAACGCCGCGUGCAGGAUGAAGGCCUUCGGGUUGUAAACUGCUUUUAUAAGCGAGGAAUAUGAUGGUAACUUAUGAAUAAGGAUCGGCUAACUACGUGCCAGCAGCCGCGGUCAUACGUAGGAUCCGAGCAUUAUCCGGAGUGACUGGGUGUAAAGAGUUGCGUAGGUGGCAUAAUAAGUAGCUAGUGAAAUCUGGUGGCUCAACCAUUCAGACUAUUAGCUAAACUGUUAAGCUCGAGACCGUUAGGGGUAACUGGAAUUUCUAGUGUAGGAGUGAAAUCCGUAGAUAUUAGAAAGAACACCAAUAGCGAAGGCAGGUUGCUGGGACGGUUCUGACACUAAGGCACGAAAGCGUAGGGAGCAAACGGGAUUAGAUACCCUUGUAGUC
rnacentral:rRNA from 1 species